UUGCAUUCCAUAGUCAUUAUAGCACCAUCAGUCACAUCGAAAGCCAGGUUUUGUGCAAACUCAAUUCACUUUGGUCGCGAGCAACAAGUGAGAAUAAUAGUAGAGUCUGUGCGAGUUACAGUUUAAUAUUUAAAAAAAAAUAUAUUCCAGUUUCAAUAUGUCUAUUAAUAUCCAAGAAUGGGAAAGUAAGCUUAUUGGCAAGACAAUCAUUCCGAUUGGGGGACAAGUCACAAAUCCUGAAAAUGAGUUUUCUGAGGAAGCUAUAAAGGCAGGAGUUCCUGCAUAUCGGAUUUUAAAGCCGGACAGUAUGGUUACCAUGGAUUAUAGAGAGGAUAGGAUCAAUGUUUAUGUUGACGAUGCUAACAAUAAUGCUGAACGAGUUACUAUUGGAUAAUAUUUGCAUCUUACCUUUCUGUGCAUUUCAUUUUCAUGUAUCAGUUAUAACUUUUUUGCCUUUGUUCCAAUUAUUCAUUAAACACACAAAGUUAUCAAUGAUAUGAAUAAUCCCCA